UCAAGUUAUGUAGUGCUAUAACAUAUCGCCAUACCCAUAACCAUUGUCAUAACCGUAACGAUAUUUACUAUUAUCGAUUAUUGGUGCCAUAACCAUAAUCAGCUGAUCUUUCAUUCGGAAUUUUUGUUUUCAUUUCAAAAGUGCCAAACAAACUAAAUGAAAUGAGCAGUGAUGAAGAAAUUGAUAAAUUAUUCCUUAAUAUUAUAGCAUUAUAUGCUAAAAAAAGCAAUUCAAGCGAACUAGGCGAUGUCGUGUCCAUUCUAUUAAUGUUAAUAGGUUCCAAAACGGAUACCAUCAAAAAACGUUCCUGAAAAUGAAAGAUAUGGAUGAACAAGCAUUGUUUGCCCAUAGAAGAAUGAAUAGGAAGUUGUAUGAUACUUUUUUAAAGUUAAUGGCACCUUAAAUGUGUAAAUUCAAGGAACAAAUCCAUGCCGAAGAGCGUUUGUCCCUCACACUUCUGUACUUAGCAUACGGAAUUCCUUUCAAAAAAUUAGCAUGGAGCUACAAAAUCGGAAAGACCACUUUGAGAAACAUAGUGCUGGAGACAUGUGAGGCUAUUUGGGAAAUCCAAUUUAUCUGAGUGAACCCACGCAACAACAGUAUAAAGAGAUCACGACCGAAUUUGCGCAAAUGUGGAACUUGCCAAACUGUGUAGGUGCGAAUGACGGAAAACAUAUUGCGAUAAAAUGCUCUCCAAAUUCAGGAUCCAUGUAUUAUAAUUAUAAAAAGCUUUUCAGUAUUGUACUGUUGGCAGAAUGUGAUGCUAAAUACACUUUUACAGCCAUUAGCGUAGGAGCUUACGGAAGCCAGAGUGAUGUAGGUAUUUUUCAUGCAACGAGAUUUGGCGAAGAUCUGUUAGAAAAUCGUUUGUCACUACCACCUGAUACUCCACUUCCGUUAUCUUCCCACCCGUUUCCGCAUUACUUUGUUGGAGACUGUGCCUUUGCUUUAAAAAAUAAUCUUAUGAAACCGUAUCCAGGUGUAAAUACAACAAGAGCUCAACGAAUUUUUAAUUAUAGACUAUCACGGGCAAGACGCGUUAUUGAAAAUGCGUUUGGGAUUUUGGCAGCGAGGUGAAGAGUGUUAAGAACAACAAUAGAGUUUCAUCCUGAAAAUGCUGAAAAAAUCGUACUAGUAUGUUUAGUGCUUCAUAAUUUCAUAAUGCUCCACGAUAUGAAUCGAUGGUACUGAUCAGAGCAUUACACUGACGGAGAUGGAAGAAAUGCUGAAUGGAGAAACGAAUUAAGAUCUUGUGGGGGACCAUUGCGGUCAGCACAAACUUUUAGACGCAGGGGUCGAAACAGUGCGUAUAACCACAGAGAACACCUCACCAAUUAUUUUAUGAACAAUGGUGCAGUAUCUUUUCAAAACCAUAUAGAGUAAAACACUUAUAAAUAUACAUAUUAAAUUCAAUAAAAAAAAUGUUGAAAAUGUAAA